rnacentral:rRNA from 1 species
GACGAACGCUGGCGGCGUGCUUAACACAUGCCAGUCGAACGGAAAGGCCCUGCUUUUGUGGGGUGCUCGAGUGGCGAACGGGUGAGAACACGUGAGUAACCUGCCCUUGACUUUGGGAUAACUUCAGGAAACUGGGGCUAAUACCGGAUAGGAGCUCCUGCUGCAUGGUGGGGGUUGGAAAGUUUCGGCGGUUGGGGAUGGACUCGCGGCUUAUCAGCUUGUUGGUGGGGUAGUGGCUUACCAAGGCUUUGACGGGUAGCCGGCCUGAGAGGGUGACCGGCCACAUUGGGACUGAGAUACGGCCCAGACUCCUACGGGAGGCAGCAGUGGGGAAUAUUGCACAAUGGGCGGAAGCCUGAUGCAGCAACGCCGCGUGCGGGAUGACGGCCUUCGGGUUGUAAACCGCUUUCGCCUGUGACGAAGCGUGAGUGACGGUAAUGGGUAAAGAAGCACCGGCUAACUACGUG